rnacentral:rRNA from 1 species
AACCGCAUGCAGGUAAACGGGUGGCGUCAAGCUGCGAACCCAGAGGAUUCAGCUGACUAGGAUGUUGUGAUGUGCCUGGCGCAUCCAUCAGUCGGAAUAAGAUGUGAUAGUCCACUGGGAGACGGUGGGCCCGGCCGCAAGGUUGGGAUAUGUGUACCGGGUGUUAGCCGGAGCAUGCUAUUCAUCUGUUGGGCUGUCUAGUCAGUGCAUUUUCUCUGUGGUGAACACCACGACCGGUGGAAUUGCCAGUCUGCUGUAGUCGAUUCUUGCUGAGAGGGUCCUUGUGGCCAACUUGGUGAGAUCACAGGCAAUGUCAGUGUACGGCGUGGGAGUGCCUUUGGUGUUCCUACGUGUUAUCGGGUGCUGCUUGUCAACGGGCCUGCUCGGUAGUUGUUGUAACUGCUGCUGGGUGGUCUGGUGGGCUAUGGUGGUAAGAAAAACUGUGCAAGGCACCGGAGAUGUCGGCCCCAAGAGCUCUCUAUGCUGACACGUUACAAGUGUGAGGGGGUGCCAUUGCAGUUUGCCUGUUGUUGAGUCUGAUUGUCGUGUCGCCUGCGCAAAGUGGGCCCGGCAGUGGCUUGAUGCAGGAUGGGCUGUGGAUGGUGUCUCUCAGGUGUAGAGGGCAGUGGGCCCAAUAGUCAGUGGUGCUGUGGUAGACGAGCUACCCGACCCGUCUUGAAACACGGACCAAGGAGUUUAACAUGUAUGCGAGUCAAAGGGCCCUACGAAACCCCAAGGCGCAAUGAAAGUAAAGCUUCGACUUGUUCUCGGAGUGAGGUGAGAUCCUGCCGUAACUCGCAUCGCUUGGUGCCAGCAUCAGGCAAAGAGCGGUAGGCGCAUCACCGGCCCGUCCCAUGAUGUGGUCAUUGGAUGUCUGCGGUCGUUGGCAAC